UUGACCUCGGAUCAGGUAGGAUUACCCGCUGAACUUAAGCAUAUCAAUAAGCGGAGGAAAAGAAACCAACAGGGAUUGCCCCAGUAACGGCGAGUGAAGCGGCAACAGCUCAGAUUUGGAAUCUGGCCUUCGGGCCCGAGUUGUAAUCUGGAGAGGAUGCUUCUGGCGCGGUGCCUUCCGAGUUCCCUGGAACGGGACGCCGGAGAGGGUGAGAGCCCCGUACGGUUGGACACCUAGCCUCUGUGAAGCUCCUUCGACGAGUCGAGUAGUUUGGGAAUGCUGCUCAAAAUGGGAGGUAAAUUUCUUCUAAAGCUAAAUAUUGGCCAGAGACCGAUAGCGCACAAGUAGAGUGAUCGAAAGAUGAAAAGCACUUUGAAAAGAGAGUUAAAAAGUACGUGAAAUUGUUGAAAGGGAAGCGCCCGUGGCCAGACUUGCGCUGCGCGGACCACCCAGCGUUCUCGCUGGUGCACUCCGCGCGGCGCAGGCCAGCAUCGGUUUUCCUAGGGGGAUAAAGGUCGCGGGAACGUAGCUCCUCCGGGAGUGUUAUAGCCCGUGGCGUCAUGCCCCUGGGGGGACCGAGGACCGCGCUUCGGCAAGGAUUCGUC
rnacentral:rRNA from 1 species